UUCCGGUUGAUCCUGCCGGAGGCGACCGCUUUGGGAGUUCGAUUAAGCCAUGCGAGUCGUGAGUCUUAGGGACUCGGCAUACUGCUCAGUAACACGUGGAUAACCUGCCCUAUCGUCUGGAAUAACCUCGGGAAACUGAGAAUAAGGCCGGAUAGUUCACAAUGCCUGGAACGGUUUGUGGAUGAAGGUAGGAUGGGUCUGCGGCGUAUCAGGUUGUAGGGGGUGUAAAGGACCCCCUAGCCUUCGACGCGUACGGGUGUUGGGAGACAUAGCCCGGAGAUGGAUUCUGAGACACGAAUCCAGACCCUACGGGGUGCAGCAGGCGCGAAAACUUCACACUGCAGGAAACUGUGAUGAGGGAACUCCAAGUGCACGCACUUAGUGUGUGCUUUUUUCAACUAUUAAUCGGUUGAAGAAUAAGGGCUGGGAAAGACCGGUGCCAGCCGCCGCGGUAAUACCGGCAGCUCAAGUGGUCGUCGCUUUUAUUGGGCCUAAAACGUCCGUAGCCUGUUUGGUAAAUCUGUGGGUAAAUCAACCAGCUUAACUGGUUGAAUUCUGCAGAGACUGCCAGACUAGGGACCGGGAGAGGUGUGGGGUACUCUAGGGGUAGGGGUAAAAUCCUGUCAUCCUUAGAGGACCACCAGUUGCGAAGGCGCCACACUGGAACGGAUCCGACGGUCAGGGACGAAGCCUAGGGGCACGAACCGGAUUAGAUACCCGGGUAGUCCUAGGUGUAAACGCUGUGAACUUGGUGUCGGGGAUCCGUCAUGGGUCCCCGGUGCCGGAGUGAAGAUGUUAAGUUCACUGCCUGGGGAGUACGGUCGCAAGGCUGAAACUUAAAGGAAUUGGCGGGGGAGCACUGCAACGGGAGGAGCGUGCGGUUUAAUUGGAUUCAACGCCGGA
rnacentral:rRNA from 1 species